rnacentral:rRNA from 1 species
UGGGGAAUAUUGGACAAUGGGCGCAAGCCUGAUCCAGCCAUGCCGCGUGAGUGACGAAGGCCUUAGGGUUGUAAAGCUCUUUUGGCGGGGAAGAUAAUGACGGUACCCGCAGAAUAAGCUCCGGCUAACUUCGUGCCAGCAGCCGCGGUAAUACGAAGGGAGCUAGCGUUGUUCGGAAUCACUGGGCGUAAAGCGCACGUAGGUGGGCAGUUAAGUCAGGGGUGAAAGCCCGAGGCUCAACCUCGGAAUUGCCUCUGAUACUGGCUGUCUAGAGUUCGAGAGAGGUGAGUGGAAUUCCUAGUGUAGAGGUGAAAUUCGUAGAUAUUAGGAAGAACACCGGUGGCGAAGGCGGCUCACUGGCUCGAUACUGACACUGAGGCACGAAAGCUAGGGUAGCGAACGGGAUUAGAUACCCGCGUAGUCCCUGAGCGGGCUGG